GAUGAACGCUGGCGGCGUGCCUAAUACAUGCAAGUCGAGCGAACAGACGAGGAGCUUGCUCCUCUGACGUUAGCGGCGGACGGGUGAGUAACACGUGGAUAACCUACCUAUAAGACUGGGAUAACUUCGGGAAACCGGAUCUAAUACCGGAUAAUAUAUUGAACCGCAUGGUUCAAUAGUGAAAGACGGUUUUGCUGUCACUUAUAGAUGUAUCCGCGCCGCAUUAGCUAGUUGGUAAGGUAACGGCUUACCAAGGCAACGAUGCGUAGCCGACCUGAGAGGGUGAUCGGCCACACUGGAACUGAGACACGGUCCAGACUCCUACGGGAGGCAGCAGUAGGGAAUCUUGCGCAAUGGGCGAAAGCCUGACGGAGCAACGCCGCGUGAGUGAUGAAGGUCUUCGGAUCGUAAAACUCUGUUAUUAGGGAAGAACAAAUGUGUAAGAAAAUAUGCACGUCUUGACGGUACCUAAACAGAAAGCCACGGCUAACUACGUG
rnacentral:rRNA from 1 species